rnacentral:rRNA from 1 species
AGGUAGUUGGUGGGGUAAAAGCCUACCAAGCCCGCGAUCUGUAGCUGGUCUGAGAGGACGACCAGCCACACUGGGACUGAGACACGGCCCAGACUCCUACGCGAGGCAGCAGUGGGGAAUUUUGGACAAUGGGCGCAAGCCUGAUCCAGCCAUGCCGCGUGCGGGAAGAAGGCCUUCGGGUUGUAAACCGCUUUUGUCAGGGAAGAAACGCUCUGGGCUAAUACCCUGGGGUAAUGACGGUACCUGAAGAAUAAGCACCGGCUAACUACGUGCCAGCAGCCGCGGUAAUACGUAGGGUGCAAGCGUUAAUCGGAAUUACUGGGCGUAAAGCGUGCGCAGGCGGUUAUGCAAGACAGAUGUGAAAUCCCCGGGCUUAACCUGGGAACUGCAUUUGUGACUGCAUAGCUAGAGUACGGUAGAGGGGGAUGGAAUUCCGCGUGUAGCAGUGAAAUGCGUAGAUAUGCGGAGGAACACCGAUGGCGAAGGCAAUCCCCUGGACCUGUACUGACGCUCAUGCACGAAAGCGUGGGGAGCAAACAGGAUUAGAUACCCUGGUAGUCCACGCCCUAAACGAUGUCAACUGGUUGUUGGGAAGGUUCCUUCUCAGUAACGUAGCUAACGCGUGAAGUUGACCGCCUGGGGAGUACGGCCGCAAGGUUGAAACUCAAAGGAAUUGACGGGGACCCACACAAGCGGUGGAUGAUGUGGUUUAAUUCGACGCAACGCGAAAAACCUUACCUACCCUUGACAUGUCUGGAAUUUGCAGAGAUGUGAAAGUGCUCGAAAGAGAACCAGAACACAGGUGCUGCAUGGCCGUCGUCAGCUCGUGUCGUGAGAUGUUGGGUUAAGUCCCGCAACGAGCGCAACCCUUGUCAUUAGUUGCUACGAAAGGGCACUCUAAUGAGACUGCCGGUGACAAACCGGAGGAAGGUGGGGAUGACGUCAGGUCAUCAUGGCCCUUAUGGGUAGGGCUACACACGUCAUACAAUGGCCGGUACAGAGGGCUGCCAACCCGCGAGGGGGAGCUAAUCCCAGAAAACCGGUCGUAGUCCGGAUCGCAGUCUGCAACUCGACUGCGUGAAGUCGGAAUCGCUAGUAAUCGCGGAUCAGCUUGCCGCGGUGAAUACGUUCCCGGGUCUUGUACACACCGCCCGUCACACCAUGGGAGCGGGUUCUGCCAGAAGUAGUUAGCCUAACCGCAAGGAGGGCGAUUACCACGGCAGGGUUCGUGACUGGGGUGAAGUCGGAACAAGGUAGCCGUAUCGGAAGGUGCGGCUG